UACAGAGGGUGCAAGCGUUGUUCGGAAUUACUGGGCGUAAAGCGUGCGCAGGCGGUUCGUUGUGUCGGCGGUGAAAGCCCCGGGCUUAACCUGGGAAUGGCCGUCGAAACUGGCGAACUGGAGUGUGGCAGAGGGGGGUGGAAUUCCGCGUGUAGCAGUGAAAUGCGUAGAGAUGCGGAGGAACACCGAUGGCGAAGGCAGCCCCCUGGGCUGACACUGACGCUCAGGCACGAAAGCGUGGGGAGCAAACAGG
rnacentral:rRNA from 1 species